GGGGUUAAAACGGGGGAUGGUAGGUUUACUCACUCAUCACGAAACCUCCGAAACUAUAACACCUACAAACUUGAAAUUUGGCAGAUAGGCUCCUUAUAGGGCGUAGACAUUCGCUAACAACGGGUUUUACAAAACUCGACCCCUAAGGGGGUAAAACGGGGUUUGGAAGUUUGUAUGAAAGUCCUAUGUUUUUGAAGUAAGAGACUUGAAAUUUAAAAUGUAUGCUCUAUAGAUGGUGAGAAGGUGUUCAAAUAAUGUAUCUUUAGAAAUCAACUCCCUUUUGGGGUUAAAACGGGG
rnacentral:misc_RNA from 1 species